rnacentral:rRNA from 1 species
UAAUACAUGCAAGUCGAGCGCAGGAAGCCGUCUGAACCCUUCGGGGGGACGACGGUGGAAUGAGCGGCGGACGGGUGAGUAACACGUAAAGAACCUGCCCAUAGGUCUGGGAUAACCACGAGAAAUCGGGGCUAAUACCGGAUGUGUCAUCGGACCGCAUGGUCCGCUGAUGAAAGGCGCUCCGGCGUCGCCCAUGGAUGGCUUUGCGGUGCAUUAGCUAGUUGGUGGGGUAACGGCCCACCAAGGCGACGAUGCAUAGCCGACCUGAGAGGGUGAUCGGCCACACUGGGACUGAGACACGGCCCAGACUCCUACGGGAGGCAGCAGUAGGGAAUCUUCCACAAUGGACGAAAGUCUGAUGGA